rnacentral:lncRNA from 1 species
CCCCUCAAAAAAAAAAGAAGAACGGUCUGCGCUCGUGAUUUCUCCCAUCAUGCGUCCGUGACUCACUACUACCAGACAAAUUAAACGUACCGCAGUGGAGAAGGCGACAAGACAAGAUAGUCAGAUAAAAUCUACGCCGAAUUCUAAAUCUCGUCCUCAAAUUACGGCUUACAAACACCCUAAGAAUGGCAUUUUAUAUGGGUGAUGUCUAUUAAAUUCUAUGUUAUGAUAUAAGGACGGCAUUCCAUCGUUGAGGCCAUAUGAAACAUUAAUCUGACUGAAAAUUCAUUGACCAA